rnacentral:lncRNA from 1 species
UUUUUACUACCAGUGGUGCCCAUUUUGAUGAUCUUGCCCAGGACCCCACCACAAAGACGUAGGAAGCAGAGUAAGAGUGGAAGGGAAGCAGUUUUCGGUGCUGCUGCUGACGUUGUGAAUCUGUGGACAUUUGGAUCCUAUAACAUAGGCCAAACCUGAUCCACACACAGUGGCAAAAGAUCUCUGUGCAUCAUCGUUUGGGAGCGAUCUGAAAUGUCAAAGGUGUCCUUUUGAUGUCGGGUAUGGGCCUCAUGCAAGGCAGCACCUGUGUGGGACGCCGUCUGAUUGUGUGUAUGUGCGUGUGUGUGUGUGCGUGUCAUAUUCACAUCCAAACUGUCAGGCUGCUCCUAUGGGAGCAAGGGAUAGUGAACAGAUGAAAACAAACUGGGGUUGUGCUAUCACCUGCUUUCUCCCUCUCACUGUCUCUCAUUUAGUAAGAGAAGUGAUUGUUAUAGUUUGAUGGGUAUUGAAUGUUUAAGAUGUAGAUCUCUUUGAUCCUGAUAUGGUACAAUCUGGCUUACACUGAAACCCUUCCCAAUGUGUGCUGGAAUGCCUGUUUUACUAUCAGUCCAACCAUCAAAGUCCUCUCCACAAUAAAUGAAUGAAUGAAUAUGUGUGUGUGUGUGUGUGUGUGUUUUGAAUUUGUGUGAACCUGUGUACCAUACCAUAACAUAUGCGUGUUGUGAAUAUGAACUCUUAUCCACUCCAUCUGCUGGUCAAUUAGAUGAAUACACAGCAAAAUUCCCAAACCUUACAGUCUUACAGAAUAGUCCUUUCACAUUUUUAAACAAAUCUAGCUUGUUUGUAUGAAACUACGGUACAAACAAGCAAAAUGCAAAUUGCAAAUACAAAAUAAAACAUACAAAUACAAAUGAGCUUUUAAUCAUGCCAUUGGUUUUACUUUCUUAUAAGCCAGUCCAGCAAACAAGUGAAAAAUAC